AGUGACCGAGAGCAUUGUUUUCCACGAUAUACUAUGUGUUACUGAACCCCACAUCAAAGUGAAGUUUGAUCUUGUUUUUGUGCUGUUUUGUCAGUUAUGCCACCGUUCAUAUACUUGCACCUUAUAUUGUCGAUUAUUGUGGGAAUCAUUCGCGCUCAAGUGAUCUUCACUGACCCAUUCGAAAAUGGGGGACCCAAAGGAAGUCCCUGCAUCGCAAAGGGCGGAGGAAAGGGCCUAUGCACCGAGAUUUCGGAAUGUCUAGGAAUCAGAGACACUUUCAGAACCAACCCCCCUGCCAACUGUGGGUUCAACGGGAAUUCCCCGAUCGUUUGUUGCCCAGUUGAAGAGGCAGCUUCUGGAGAUUUCACCUUAGAUAUUUCGACUCCAAGUUCAUUUUCAGUCGCCUCAUGCAGUCGAAUCAUAUCUACAUUUUCGCUUGUCGGGGGAUUUGAGUCACAGAGGAAUGCGUGGCCAUGGAUGGCACUCAUAGGGAUCAAAGAAGAAGAUGGCGCUGACUGGUUCUGUGGAGGCGUUCUCAUCAAUGACCAAUGGGUUCUUACGGCAGCUCACUGCUUGGACACUAGGAUACCUACCAUAGUGAGGCUUGGUGAACACAACUACGAAAGUGCGAGUGACGAUGCAAAUGAGGAAGACUUCGAAAUUUCGCAACUGGUUCGGCACCCAAAUUAUUCAUUCCCAGUCGCCUACCAUGACCUUGCUCUGAUGCAGCUCUCGACUAAGGUCAUUCUGGAGAUACAUAUAUCUCCCGUGUGCUUACCUUGGGGAGCCGAAAUCCAGAGGAAUCUGACAGGAAGCACCGUGAAACUAACUGGAUGGGGACACACUCAAUUCGCUGGAAGGCCGAGUCCAGCCCUGCAGGAGGUAGACGUCACUAUGUUCCCGAUUUUCACCUGCCAAAGUGCCUACUCAACCCUCAGGCAGUCCAGCGUCCACUGGCCCAGAGGCAUCGGGCAGGAGACGGUUUGCGCUGGGCACGAGCAAGGAGGCCGAGACGCUUGUCAAAAGUGAUCUUCACAGACCCAUUCGAAAGUGAGGGACCCACAGGGAGUCCCUGCAUCGCAAAGGGCGGAGGACGGGGCCUAUGCACCAAGAUUUCGGAAUGUCCAGGAAUCAGAGACACUUUCAGGACCAACCCCCCUGCCAACUGUGGGUUCAACGGGAAUUCCCCGAUCGUUUGUUGCCCAGUUGAAGAGGCAGCAUCUGGAGAUUCUGCCUUGGAUAUUUCGACCCCAAGUUCAUCUUCAAUCACCGCAUGCGGUCGAAGUGUCGUCGAAUUCAUAUUCCCGAGGUUUGAGAGGGCUAUUGAAUUGCUUGAGGAAUUUGUGGAUCUUCUAGAUAUUACCGAAAGCCCCCCGGUUGUCGGGGGAUUUGAGACACAGAGGAAUGCGUGGCCUUGGAUGGUACUCAUAGGGAUCAACGAAGAAGAUGGCUUUGACUGGUUCUGUGGAGGCGUUCUCAUCAAUGACCAAUGGGUUCUUACGGCAGCUCACUGCUUGGACACUAGGUAAGCU